GGAGUUAGCCGGUGCUUCUUCUGUGAGUGAUGUCCUUCCUGCCGGCUAUUAACCCGCAGGCCUUCUUCCUCACUGAAAGUGCUUUACAACCCGAAGGCCUUCUUCACACACGCGGCAUGGCUGGAUCAGGGUUGCCCCCAUUGUCCAAUAUUCCCCACUGCUGCCUCCCGUAGGAGUCUGGGCCGUGUCUCAGUCCCAGUGUGGCUGAUCAUCCUCUCAGACCAGCUACGGAUCGUCGCCUUGGUGAGCCGUUACCUCACCAACCAGCUAAUCCGACAUAGGCUCAUCCGAUAGCGCGAGGCCCGAAGGUCCCCCGNUUUCCCCCGUAGGGCGUAUGCGGUAUUAGCCUGGGUUUCCCCAGGUUAUCCCCCACUACCGGGCAGAUUCCUAUGCAUUACUCACCCGUCCGCCGCUCGCCACCAGGGAGCAAGCUCCCCGUGCUGCCGCUCGACUUGCAUGUGUUAGGCCUGCCGCCAGCGUUCAAUCUGAGCCAGAAUCAAACUCUGA
rnacentral:rRNA from 1 species